rnacentral:rRNA from 1 species
AUCCACGCUGGCGGCGUGCCUCAGACAUGCCAGUCGAACGAUUAAACUUCCCUUCGGGGAAGAUAUAAAGUGGCGCACGGGUGAGUAACACGUAGGUAAUGUACCUUUGGGUGGGGAAUAACUUAGGGAAACUUAAGCUAAUACCGCAUAAUGCAGCGGCUCCUUCGGGAGACAGUUGUUAAAGAUUUAUCGCCUAAAGAGCAGCCUGCGGCAGAUUAGCUAGUUGGUAAGGUAACGGCUUACCAAGGCUACGAUCUGUAUCCGACCUGAGAGGGUGGUCGGACACACUGACACUGAAUAACGGGUCAGACUCCUACGGGAGGCAGCAGUCGGGAAUUUUGGGCAAUGGGCGAAAGCCUGACCCAGCAACGCCGCGUGAAGGAUGAAGUCUUUCGGGAUGUAAACUUCGUAAGAAUAGGAAGAAUAAAUGACGGUACUAUGUGUAAGAUCCGGCUAACUACGUG